rnacentral:rRNA from 1 species
UACGAAGGGGGCUAGCGUUGUUCGGAUUUACUGGGCGUAAAGCGCAUGUAGGCGGACCAUUAAGUUGGGGGUGAAAUCCCGAGGCUCAACCUCGGAAUUGCCUCCAAAACUGGCGGUCUGGAGCAGAAGGGAGGCGAGUGGAAUUACGAGUGUAGAGGUGAAAUUCGUAGAUAUUCGGAGGAACACCAGUGGCGAAGUCGACUCGCUGGCUUCUUGCUGACGCUGAGAAGUGAAAGCGUGGGAAGCAAACAGG